AGAACGAACGCUGGCGGCAUGCCUAACACACGCAAGUCGAACGAGACCUUCGGGUCUAGUGGCGCACGGGUGCGUAACGCGUGGGAAUCUGCCCUUGGGUUCGGAAUAACAGUUGGAAACGACUGCUAAUACCGGAUGAUGACGUAAGUCCAAAGAUUUAUCGCCCAGGGAUGAGCCCGCGUAGGAUUAGCUAGUUGGUGAGGUAAAGGCUCACCAAGGCGACGAUCCUUAGCUGGUCUGAGAGGAUGAUCAGCCACACUGGGACUGAGACACGGCCCAGACUCCUACGGGAGGCAGCAGUGGGGAAUAUUGGACAAUGGGCGAAAGGCCUGAUCCAGCAAUGCCGCGUGAGUGAUGAAGGCCUUAGGUUGUAAAGCUCUUUACCGGGAAGAUAAUGACUGUACCGGAGAAUAAAGCUUACCGGCUAACUCCGCGCCAGCAGCCG
rnacentral:rRNA from 1 species